GACGAACGCUGGCGGCAUGCCUAACACAUGCAAGUCGAACGAUCCCUUCGGGGAUAGUGGCGCACGGGUGCGCAACGCGUGGGAAUCUGCCCUUGGGUUCGGAAUAACAGUUAGAAAUGACUGCUAAUACCGGAUGAAGUCUUCGGACCAAAGAUUUAUCGCCCAGGGAUGAGCCCGCGUAGGAUUAGGUAGUUGGUGAGGUAAAGGCUCACCAAGCCGACGAUCCUUAGCUGGUCUGAGAGGAUGAUCAGCCACACUGGGACUGAGACACGGCCCAGACUCCUACGGGAGGCAGCAGUGGGGAAUAUUGGACAAUGGGCGCAAGCCUGAUCCAGCAAUGCCGCGUGAGUGAUGAAGGCCUUCGGGUCGUAAAGCUCUUUUACCCGGGAUGAUAAUGACAGUACCGGGAGAAUAAGCUCCGGCUAACUCCGUGCCAGCAGCCGCCGUAAUAC
rnacentral:rRNA from 1 species